AAUCUGAAUUUAAGCAUUUCUUUUUUUAAAAAAAAAAGAAAGAAAGUCAAUUAUUCUUUGUGUGAAGAAGUAAAAAGAAAAACCUAGAAAAUCACUUCUCUCUUUCCCUCUUUCUCUCGAUUUGGUAGGAACCAGCACUAAGCUGGGAUUUUCUUUGCUCAAUUCACCUAGUUGUUGUUGUAAUUGAAGCUCUAAUUCAAGGGCCCUGUUAAACGUCGAGCUGCACUUCCACUCAGGCUGACCGGCACACUUGAGCACGGAACGAGGUAAAGGAAAAGCAAAGCUGGAGGAACAGUGAGGCGGAACUCGGCAUGAUUGUACAUAUCGCGGCAGUGCAACCUGGAGGGUUUCGGUUUACUUGUAUUUUGGAGUCUGUAUUUUGAGAAUGCAUAUCCGCUAAACUUUAAAAAAAAAAAAUAUAUAUGUAUAUAGUAGUAAUGUACCUUUAAUUUGUAUUUUGAUACUCGGGAU